rnacentral:tRNA from 1 species
CCCUGGUUAGCUCAGUUGGUAGAGCGCUCCACCUGUAAUGGAGAGGUUCAGGGUUUGAUACCCGGACCAGGCG